GAUGAACGCUGGCGGCGUGCCUAAUACAUGCAAGUCGAGCGGCAGCACGGUCUUCGGACUGGUGGCGAGCGGCGGACGGCUGAGUAACGCGUAGGAAUAUACCCCAAAGUGAGGGAUAACUGCCCGAAAGGGUGGCUAAUACCGCAUGUGGUCUUCGGACUAAAGCCUUCGGGCGCUUUGGGAAUAGCCUGCGUAAGAUUAGCUAGUUGGUGAGGUAAUGGCUCACCAAGGCGACGAUCUUUAGCUGGUCUGAGAGGAUGACCAGCCAGACUGGAACUGAGACACGGUCCAGACUCCUACGGGAGGCAGCAGUAGGGAAUUUUCCACAAUGGGCGAAAGCCUGAUGGAGCAACGCCGCGUGCAGGAUGAAGGCCCUCGGGUCGUAAACUGCUUUUAUGUGCGAAGAAUGUGACGGUAACACAUGAAUAAGGGUCGGCUAACUACGUGCCAGCAGCCGCGGUAAU
rnacentral:rRNA from 1 species